UACGUAGGGUGCAAGCGUUAAUCGGAAUUACUGGGCGUAAAGCGUGCGCAGGCGGCUUUGCAAGACAGAUGUGAAAUCCCCGGGCUUAACCUGGGAACUGCAUUUGUGACUGCAUGGCUAGAGUGCGGCAGAGGGGGAUGGAAUUCCGCGUGUAGCAGUGAAAUGCGUAGAGAUGUGGAGGAACACCGAUGGCGAAGGCAGCCCCCUGGGCCUGCACUGACGCUCAUGCACGAAAGCGUGGGGAGCAAACAGG
rnacentral:rRNA from 1 species